rnacentral:rRNA from 1 species
UACGUAGGGGGCAAGCGUUGUCCGGAUUUAUUGGGCGUAAAGGGCGCGUAGGCGGCUCAUGAAGGCUGUGGUGAAAGUCCGGGGCUCAACCUCGGAUCGGCCGUGGCGACUCGUGGGCUGGAGCACUGUAGAGGCGGGUGGAAUUCCGGGUGUAGCGGUGGAAUGCGUAGAGAUCCGGAAGAACACCAGCGGCGAAGGCAGCUCGCUGGGACGUUACUGACGCUGAGACGCGAAAGCGUGGGGAGCAAACAGG